rnacentral:rRNA from 1 species
GAUGAACGCUGGCGGCGUGCCUAAUACAUGCAAGUCGAGCGAACAGACGAGGAGCUUGCUCCUCUGACGUUAGCGGCGGACGGGUGAGUAACACGUGGAUAACCUACCUAUAUGACUGGGAUAACUUCGGGAAACCGGAGCUAAUACCGGAUGAUAUAUUGAACCGCAUGGUUCAAUAGUGAAAGACGGUUUUGCUGUCACUUAUCGAUGGAUCCGCGCCGCAUUAGCUAGUUGGUAAGGUAACGGCUUACCAAGGCAACGAUGCGUAGCCGACCUGAGAGGGUGAUCGGCCACACUGGAACUGAGACACGGUCCAGACUCCUACGGGAGGCAGCAGUAGGGAAUCUACCGCAAUGGGCGAAGGACUGACGGAGCAACGCCGCGUGAGUGAUGAAGGUCUUCGGAUCGGAAAACUCUGUUAUUAGGGAAGAACAAAUGUGUAAGUAACUAUGCACGGCGUGACGGUACCUAAUCAGAAAGCAACGGCUAACUACGUG